UACGAAGGGGGCUAGCGUUGCUCGGAAUUACUGGGCGUAAAGGGCGCGUAGGCGGCACUGUUAGUCAGGCGUGAAAGUCCUGGGCUCAACCUGGGAACUGCGCUUGAUACGGCAGAGCUAGAGGAUGGAAGAGGCUCGCGGAAUUCCCAGUGUAGGGGUGAAAUUCGUAGAUAUUGGGAAGAACACCGGUGGCGAAGGCGGCGAGCUGGUCCAUUACUGACGCUGAGGCGCGACAGCGGUGGGGAGCAAAC
rnacentral:rRNA from 1 species